AUUGAACGCUGGCGGCAUGCCUUACACAUGCAAGUCGAACGGCAGCGGACCUUCGGGUGCCGGCGAGUGGCGAACGGGUGAGUAAAGUAUCGGAACGUACCUUUCAGUGGGGGAUAACGUAGCGAAAGUUACGCUAAUACCGCAUAUUCUGUGAGCAGGAAAGCAGGGGAUCGCAAGACCUUGCGCUGAUUGAGCGGCCGAUAUCAGAUUAGCUAGUUGGUGAGGGAAAGGCUCACCAAGGCGACGAUCUGUAGCGGGCCUGAGAGGAUGAUCCGCCACACGGGAACUGAGACACGGUCCAGACUCCUACGGGAGGCAGCAGUGGGGAAUUUUGGACAAUGGGGGCAACCCUGAUCCAGCCAUGCCGCGUGAGUGAAGAAGGCCUUCGGGUUGUAAAGCUCUUUCGGCCGGGAAGAAAUCGCUUAGGUUAAUACCCUGAGUGGAUGACGGUACCGGAAUAAGAAGCACCGGCUAACUACGUGCCAGCAGCCGCCGUAA
rnacentral:rRNA from 1 species